GAUAUCAGUCAUGCAUAGCAUAUCAAUAAGCGGAGGAAAAGAAACUAACAAGGAUUCCCUUAGUAACGGCGAGUGAAGCGGGAAGAGCUCAAAUUUGAAAUCUUCAAGGUUCUACCUUGACGAAUUGUAGUUUAUAGAAGUGUUUUCUGUUAGUGGAGUGGCAAAAGUUCUUUGGAAUAGGACAUCAUAGAGGGUGAGAAUCCCGUAUUUGGUCAUUCUUCCUAGCGUUGUGAUACACUUUCAACGAGUCGGAUUGUUUGGGAAUGCAGUCCAAAAUGGGUGGUAAAUUUCAUCUAAAGCUAAAUAUUGGCGAGAGACCGAUAGCGAACAAGUACCGUGAGGGAAAGAUGAAAAGAACUUUGAAAAGAGAGUUAAACAGUACGUGAAAUUGUCAAAAGGGAAGCGUUUGACACCAGUGUUGUUUUUCCGAAAAUCAAUUACGAAUGUUUUGUUUUUAAGAAGUUAUGACUUCAUCGGCUUGCUUCUUUCUUUACGAAACUUUCUUAAUGCACUUUUCGGUUAACAAGUCAACAUCAAUUUCUUUUGUUGUAAAAGGGUACGAGGAAGGUGGCUUUCUUUUCGGAGAAAGUGUUUAUAGCCUUGUAGCCUCUGCAAUCGGAGAGAUUGAGGUCUGCAGCGUAGAUCCUUCGGGGUUAGAUACAUUUGUGCUAAGUUAUAGCUUUUCAUAGACAACUUGUUGACUAUGUUAGUCUUGUAGCUUACUCGCUUAUGCUAUUUUACCUACGCUUAGGAUGUUGAUCUCUCACAGUCGAGC
rnacentral:rRNA from 1 species